rnacentral:lncRNA from 1 species
AGAACGUGCUUCCUUAGGUUAACGGCCCUUAUUCUUCUGUGUCCCACGUCUCAACAGAGCCCCUUCCUCCUCCACCCAGGGGAGGCCCAACUGCACCAGGCCAUUCCACUGCUUCAGGACGCAACUGUGCAGAGCAUCAAGACAAAAAUCUCAGUCUUCGAGGAACUCACAGUGUAGCAGAAAAGACAAAGGAGGUAAACAGGAGGAGCAUGAAUAAUUCAUCUUGAUGUAAUCAUGCAAGACUCCUAAGAAGAUGUUAGGAGACCCUGUCAUCAUUCUUUUGGCCUCUAGUGUCCUUUAUCUUCAUGUUUGCUGGCUUCCUUUUACUACUAUGGAAAUACAACAUAUGCAAAAGUAGUGUUUUCACUGUUUAAAAACAUCGUCAGCAGCAUCAUCAUCAUUAACUGCACCAGGAAGCCAUGACUCCUUUCUGGACAAGGUGCACUUGCCUGUCAUCCUUCCAUCUCUUUCUUCCUCCUUGAAGUUCACAAUACCCAGUCCAGGAGCAUUGCAGAGAAUGCUAGGUGUGUCUGCAGACUUGACUUUAAAAGAAAACAAGUUCCUUCAAGUGAGUUCAUCAUGAUGGGAAUGAUAAUUUGUUUGAGAGAAUGUGUGUUCUUUGGCAAAGGAACUCCUGUUAUACCAUGACAGUAAUAAUAGCAGUAAUAAAAUCACCAAUAAUAAAUUUACUUUUGAAUUUA